GUCCACGCCGUAAACGAUGAGAACUAGCUGUCCGGGCACUUGGUGCCUGGGUGGCGCAGCUAACGCAUUAAGUUCUCCGCCUGGGGAGUACGGCCGCAAGGUUAAACUCAAAGAAAUUGACGGGGCCUGCACAAGCGGUGGAGCAUGUGGUUUAAUUCGAAGCAACGCGCAGAACCUUACCAACGUUUGACAUGUCCAGUAUGGUUACCAGAGAUGGUUUCCUUCAGUUCGGCUGGCUGGAACACAGGUGCUGCAUGGCUGUCGU
rnacentral:rRNA from 1 species